GACCAUAUGAUCUAAUGGUUAUGAUACAACCUCUUCGUGGUUGUUAUAUGAGUUCAAUUCUCAUUAUGGUUA
rnacentral:tRNA from 1 species